GCCCAGUUAGCUCAGUCAGUAGAGCAUGGGACUCAUAGUCCCAGGGUCAUGGGGUUCAAGCCCCACGUUGGGUG
rnacentral:tRNA from 1 species